GCUCCAGUAGACGCAAUCGGUCAGCGCGCGGUACUUAUAAUGCCGAGGUUGUGAGUUCGAGCCUCACCUGGAACA